rnacentral:rRNA from 1 species
AUUGAACGCUGGCGGCAGGCUUAACACAUGCAAGUCGAGCGGGGGAAGGUAGCUUGCUACUGGACCUAGCGGCGGACGGGUGAGUAAUGCUUAGGAAUCUGCCUAUUAGUGGGGGACAACAUCUCGAAAGGGAUGCUAAUACCGCAUACGUCCUACGGGAGAAAGCAGGGGAUCUUCGGACCUUGCGCUAAUAGAUGAGCCUAAGUCGGAUUAGCUAGUUGGUGGGGUAAAGGCCUACCAAGGCGACGAUCUGUAGCGGGUCUGAGAGGAUGAUCCGCCACACUGGGACUGAGACACGGCCCAGACUCCUACGGGAGGCAGCAGUGGGGAAUAUUGGACAAUGGGGGGAACCCUGAUCCAGCCAUGCCGCGUGUGUGAAGAAGGCCUUAUGGUUGUAAAGCACUUUAAGCGAGGAGGAGGCUACUUUAGUUAAUACCUAGAGAUAGUGGACGUUACUCGCAGAAUAAGCACCGGCUAACUCUGUGCCAGCAGCCGCGGUAAUACAGAGGGUGCGAGCGUUAAUCGGAUUUACUGGGCGUAAAGCGUGCGUAGGCGGCUUAUUAAGUCGGAUGUGAAAUCCCCGAGCUUAACUUGGGUAUUGCAUUCGAUACUGGUGAGCUAGAGUAUGGGAGAGGAUGGUAGAAUUCCAGGUGUAGCGGUGAAAUGCGUAGAGAUCUGGAGGAAUACCGAUGGCGAAGGCAGCCAUCUGGCCUAAUACUGACGCUGAGGUACGAAAGCAUGGGGAGCAAACAGGAUUAGAUACCCUGGUAGUCCAUGCCGUAAACGAUGUCUACUAGCCGUUGGGGCCUUUGAGGCUUUAGUGGCGCAGCUAACGCGAUAAGUAGACCGCCUGGGGAGUACGGUCGCAAGACUAAAACUCAAAUGAAUUGACGGGGGCCCGCACAAGCGGUGGAGCAUGUGGUUUAAUUCGAUGCAACGCGACGAACCUUACCUGGCCUUGACAUACUAGAAACUUUCCAGAGAUGGAUUGGUGCCUUCGGGAAUCUAGAUACAGGUGCUGCGUGGCUGUCGUCAGCUCGUGUCGUGAGAUGUUGGGUUAAGUCCCGCAACGAGCGCAACCCUUUUCCUUACUUGCCAGCAUUUCGGAUGGGAACUUUAAGGAUACUGCCAGUGACAAACUGGAGGAAGGCGGGGACGACGUCAAGUCAUCAUGGCCCUUACGGCCAGGGCUACACACGUGCUACAAUGGUCGGUACAAAGGGUUGCUACACAGCGAUGUGAUGCUAAUCUCAAAAAGCCGAUCGUAGUCCGGAUUGGAGUCUGCAACUCGACUCCAUGAAGUCGGAAUCGCUAGUAAUCGCGGAUCAGAAUGCCGCGGUGAAUACGUUCCCGGGCCUUGUACACACCGCCCGUCACACCAUGGGAGUUUGUUGCACCAGAAGUAGCUAGCCUAACUGCAAAGAGGGCGGUUACCACGGUGUGGCCGAUGACUGGGGUG